rnacentral:rRNA from 1 species
AACGAACGCUGGCGGCGUGCUUAACACAUGCAAGUCGAGUGCGCGUGCCGUAGCAAUACGGCAUGGCGCACGGCGCACGGGUGCGUAACACGUGGGCAAUCUGCCCUUCGAUGGGGAAUAACUCCGGGAAACCGAAGCUAAUUCCGCAUAACAUUCCUUGGACUUCGGUUCGAGGACUCAAAGCCGUAAGGCGUCGAAGGAGGAGCCCGCGCACGAUUAGCUAGUUGGUAGGGACGGCCUACCAAGGCUUUGAUCGUUAGCUGGUCUGAGAGGAUGGCCAGCCACACUGGAACUGAGAC